CCUACGGGAGGCAGCAGUGGGGAAUAUUGCACAAUGGGCGCAAGCCUGAUGCAGCGACGCCGCGUGAGGGAUGACGGCCUUCGGGUUGUAAACCUCUUUCAGCAGGGACGAAGCGCAAGUGACGGUACCUGUAGAAGAAGCACCGGCCAACUACGUGCCAGCAGCCGCGGUAAU
rnacentral:rRNA from 1 species